rnacentral:rRNA from 1 species
GUCUACAGCCAUGCUACCCUGAACAAGCUCGACCCCGUCUGAUCUCGGAAGCUAAGCAGGGUCGGGCCUGGUUAGUAUUCGGAUGGGAGACCACCUAGGAAUACCAGGUGCUGUAGGCA